CAGGAAGUACCUCCCUCUCUCGGGGAAGCUAGGAGCACUGCAGGAGAGAAGCUUAGCAGAGCUACCAAUUUCAUGGGCAUCUAUAGCAUCUGAUGAUGUGCUUCGGGCAGAAACCUGAAUAUGGGACUCUGUGGUUAAAAGUUUAUGACUAUAUACAGCCAUUGAAUUUCUUCCCUUGAGGGUAGUUCUUGCCAUCUGGAAGUUCCAUGCAAAUAUAUCCUCUUUAGACUUACAUCGUUGGAUUUCUAUUCCCUCAUCUGCAACGAGAGUGGUUAUGCUGGGUAACCUCCUAUCUUUGUUUAUCUAAGACUUACAAGACUCAUGAAAGGACACCACAG